rnacentral:rRNA from 1 species
UUAGACGGGGCCCGACACAAGCGGUGGAGUAUGUGGUUUAAUUCGAUGCAACGCGAAGAACCUUACCUGGUCUUGACAUCCCGGAGACCCUUAGGAAACUAGGGGGUGCUUCCAUCUGGAAGAAUCUGGAGACAGGUGCUGCAUGGCUGUCGUCAGCUCGUGUCGUGAGAUGUUGGGUUAAGUCCCGCAACGAGCGCAACCCUUGCCUUUAGUUGCCAGCAGUUCGGCUGGGCACUCUAAAGGGACUGCCGGUGUUAAACCGGAGGAAGGUGGGGAUGACGUCAAGUCCUCAUGGCCUUUAUGACCAGGGCUACACACGUACUACAAUGGCCGAUACAAAGGGCAGCGACACUGCGAGGUGAAGCCAAUCCCGUAAAAUCGGUCUCAGUCCGGAUUGGAGUCUGCAACUCGACUCCAUGAAGUUGGAAUCGCUAGUAAUCGUGGAUCAGCAUGCCACGGUGAAUACGUUCCCGGGCCUU